rnacentral:lncRNA from 1 species
CCAUGGACACAUAUCUCAGACUGCCUGAUUUGUAUAUCUCAAGCCACCAGGUUUGUCUGAAGUACUUAAAUUAGCUGGCUUGAUUACACAACAACAGCAAAACUUUUAAGAUAUUACCAAGCACGAGAAGAUAAGAAGAGCCUGGAUAUCUUAAAAGUGUUGGGGUUGUUGUAUAUUCAAGCUAACUAAUAUAAUAUUGAUACUUUAGACAAAGUUGAGGACUUGUGCAGUCGUCAAGGCACGGUUGAGCAGAUGGGUGGGUGUGGCGUUUGUCUUGCUCUUGGUCACACAAAACAACAUCAGAGAUUCUGCCCACAAAAUAAUGAUUUCAACCACAAACCUUAUGCCACAAACAAUUACAAAAGUGCUUGAUGGAUUAUGCUACGGGAGAGGCUCUGCAUUUUCCAUUGCUUGAAAACUGACAGAUUCCCAUGAUGAGAAUGCUACCUAGGUAAAUCACAUGUUGGUCAUGUGCUACAAAUGGAAAAUAAAUACAAAUCGGCUUCUUGAAAAACAAGAGCCAGUGAAAUGUAGUGGUGAUACUGUUAGACUAGCACUGGCAGUGGCAUAGUGUGGGGGGCCAGAAGGGCAGUGGCUCUGGGCGCAAAAUUCUGAGAGGGGCACAACCAGGCACAGUGCCCAUGCACCCCACCCCCGGGCCCAGGCAGCACCAGCACCACUGGCAGCCAUGUGCCUCGUGGGCUCUGCACUCCCCUGGCACGCACCUCCACUCCAGCUGCCCAGUCCACCAGGGGGCACAACACUUCCCUGCCCAGGGCACCAGCAACCCAUGCUAUGCCACUGAGGGUGUACUGGGGACACCCAGAUUCAACCAUAUGUCAGGAGUGCUCUGAUGGUGUUUCCUGCUUGGCAGGGGGUUGGACUCGAUGGCCCUUGUGGUCUCUUCCAACUCUAUGAUUCUAUGAUUCUAUAGUACAAGAUAGUACAAUAAUACUUGGCUAGUUUAGAUGUAUUCAAGUCUCACUUCCGGGGGAGGUGCCUCUGGUAAUGGCAGAAUUCCUCUGACCGGGAGGAAUCUGCUCCGUGGAAAUCUGGGUCUGGCCGCCACGGCAAAGGCGGAGACCCGUUAAAAUCACAGGCGGGAGAAGCCUGUGAACGUGGGAUUCGGCAGGCACCUUUUGCGCCUCUCCCACUCGUGGGGAACCCUGGGUUUUGGGGCUCCGGAGCGAUGUGGGGUGAGCGGCGCGGUGCAUCGAAUCGUCUACUUCUUCCACGGAGCGAAGCCGCAUAGCUGUUGCCGGAGAGUGCUGACCUUUUCCUGUGGACAAUUUGACUUUAAAGUAAUUACCCGUGAGUAGAGCUGAAACGGAAGAAUUGGAUUUCUAAAAGUUUAAUUUGGUAUCGUAACGGGGAGGUUCAAAACAGGAAGUCUGCCUUCCCUUUUUGUAAAUAGACUGAGGCAAUGAAGUUGCAAGCUGGAGUCUUGAAAGGUCUUUUGAAAAAGAUCAAAUUUCCAACGGUAAAGAACAUUAAACCCCCUCUUGGAGGCAGGAGAAGAGAGGGGGAAGUUGCGGACUGAGUAUGCCUGCGGGAGAGAGCGAAGAGGCUUAAAACACCGCCGCUCUGACCCUGGAAACGGGCUGCUAGUAAAACUGACGUUUUUUGGAAUGUUCAUUGACAGUGCUUAGAACGUUCAUUGACAGCUAGCUAAAUAAGAGAAAUACAUUGUUUCUACUGUUUCCGGCUGCUUUAAAAAGGAGUAAAAGUAAUUGAAAAUUGAAACUAAUUUGAAACUAACUUUGGAUUGUUUAAAAGAGGAUACUAUUGACUUUUACAAAUAGAAACUGUUUCCCCCUAGUGGAAGCCUUUGAAACUGGUUGAUUUACAAGAGUUGGACUAGGGGAAUUUCCAGCUGUAAGUUAAAAACCGUGAGACUCUGGGACUGACCUUGAAUCUUUCAAAUGUUAUGGUAAAUGGAAGAGGAAAAACAGACCAGUCAACUAUUGAUAAAACAUUAAGGUCUGGGAGAACUUGGUAACAAUCCAGGAGAGGUUUAUUAUUAAGCCCUCCUAUUCUUUUUGUUGCUGCCUCUGUACUAGUAUAUUUGAAACUAAGAGGAAUGUCGACAGAAGAGGCUUUGGUGGCAGCAUUACAUAAGAUAAAUCACUCAUUGGAUCAGCUUCACAAGAAAAUGGACAUGAUAAGUGCGAAGGUGGAUGUUUCAGUUGUUGAGGUUGACUUGAAUGCAGGGAGUAUGGACAAUACCAAUACAGAAACCACCCAGAAAUUGAUACAAGAACCUAUUUUGAUAUGGCAAGCUAUGGAGGAAGUCAAGGAAAAAGCUGCUGCUGUUGAAGGUACAGAAACACAACUGGAGAGAAAGAGAAAGAGAGCCCCAGCCCUACAGAGGCAAUUUGAUGAACACAAGUUGACGCUCGCUAUGACUGAAUUUAAGGAAAAACAGACGAAUUUGAGGAUUAGAGUUCACCUUUGGUGGACAUGCCCAAGGAUUAAGACACUCUGGGAGAUGAUUCAUAACGAAAUGAAAAAGGUAUUUAAAUAUACCCUUUUGAAGAAACCAGAGGCCUUUCUCCUGGGCAUGGUCGGUCAAUUGGUGUUAAAGAAGGAUAGAAUUUGUCUCAUGUAUGUAACAAUAGCAGCAAGAAUACUCAUUGUGAAGUACUGAAAGACACAAGAUUUAUCUAUCCGGGAAGAAUGGCAGAUGAAGUUGAUGGACUAUAUGGAAUUGGCGGAAACGACUGGCAGAAAUCCGAGACCAGGGAGAAAAGACGGUGGAAGAAGACUGGAAAAAGUUUAAGACUAUUUAUAGAAAUAUUGUAAAAAUAAUGAAUGUUAGAAAAAUGUUGGAAUGAAGUUAUAUGGCUUUAGUAGAAAUGUUAUAAGGAAUUAAGUAUAAAUAGAAAUAGAGUAUC